CCUACGGGUGGCAGCAGUGAGGAAUAUUGGUCAAUGGGCGCGAGCCUGAACCAGCCAAGUAGCGUGAAGGAUGACUGCCCUACGGGUUGUAAACUUCUUUUAUAAAGGAAUAAAGUGAGGCACGUGUGCCUUUUUGUAUGUACUUUAUGAAUAAGGAUCGGCUAACUCCGUGCCACCAGCCGCGGUAAUACGGAGGAUCCGAUGUUUAACGGAAUUUAUUGGGUUUAAAGGGAGCGAAGAUGGUUUGUUACGUCAGUGGUGAAGUUUGCGGCUCAAUCGUAAAAUUGCAAUUGAUACUGGCAGCCUUGAGUAGAGUUGAGGUAGGCGGAAUGCGUGGUGUAGCGGUGAAAUGCUUAGAUAUCACGAAGAACUCCGAUUGCGAAGGCAGCAUACUAAACUGCCACUGACAUUGAUGCUCGAAAGUGUGGGUAUCAAACAGGAUUAGAUACCCGAGUAGUC
rnacentral:rRNA from 1 species